rnacentral:rRNA from 1 species
GCUGGCGGCGUGCCUAACACAUGCAAGUCGAGCGAGAAAAGGGGAGCAAUCUCCUGAGUAAAGCGGCGCACGGGUGAGUAACACGUGGGUAAUCUGCCCUGGAGUGGGGAAUAACACCGGGAAACCGGUGCUAAUACCGCAUACGAUCGCGAUGUCUGCGGACGUUGUGAUGAAAGGAGCAAUUCGCUCCAGGAGGAGCCCGCGGCUGAUUAGCUAGUUGGUGAGGUAAUGACUCACCAAGGCAACGAUCAGUAUCCGGUCUGAGAGGACGGUCGGACACACUGGAACUGAGACACGGUCCAGACUCCUACGGGAGGCAGCAGUGGG